rnacentral:misc_RNA from 1 species
UUGAAUCCUUAGGAUGUUGCUGGCCUUUGCAAAAAGGCAUGUGCACUCCGCCUAUUCAAACCCCAUGUGAACUUAUUGUAGGCUUCAGAUUUAAACAAGUCUGUUGUCUAUGUUUUUAUCACACACUCUUUGUAUAUUGAAUGUCUAAUGUUGGCAAAAAUAUAUAAUA